rnacentral:rRNA from 1 species
GCGAACGGGGAGGAGCCCAGAGCCUGAAUCAGUGUGUGUGUUAGUGGAAGCGUCUGGAAAGGCGCGCGAUACAGGGUGACAGCCCCGUACACAAAAAUGCACAUGCUGUGAGCUCGAUGAGUAGGGCGGGACACGUGGUAUCCUGUCUGAAUAUGGGGGGACCAUCCUCCAAGGCUAAAUACUCCUGACUGACCGAUAGUGAACCAGUACCGUGAGGGAAAGGCGAAAAGAACCCCGGCGAGGGGAGUGAAAAAGAACCUGAAACCGUGUACGUACAAGCAGUGGGAGCACAGAGCAAUCUGUGUGACUGCGUACCUUUUGUAUAAUGGGUCAGCGACUUAUAUUCUGUAGCAAGGUUAACCGAAUAGGGGAGCCGAAGGGAAACCGAGUCUUAACUGGGCGUUAAGUUGCAGGGUAUAGACCCGAAACCCGGUGAUCUAGCCAUGGGCAGGUUGAAGGUUGGGUAACACUAACUGGAGGACCGAACCGACUAAUGUUGAAAAAUUAGCGGAUGACUUGUGGCUGGGGGUGAAAGGCCAAUCAAACCGGGAGAUAGCUGGUUCUCCCCGAAAGCUAUUUAGGUAGCGCCUCGUGAAUUCAUCUCCGGGGGUAGAGCACUGUUUCGGCAAGGGGGUCAUCCCGACUUACCAACCCGAUGCAAACUGCGAAUACCGGAGAAUGUUAUCACGGGAGACACACGGCGGGUGCUAACGUCCGUCGUGAAGAGGGAAACAACCCAGACCGCCAGCUAAGGUCCCAAAGUCAUGGUUAAGUGGGAAACGAUGUGGGAAGGCCCAGACAGCCAGGAUGUUGGCUUAGAAGCAGCCAUCAUUUAAAGAAAGCGUAAUAGCUCACUGGUCGAGUCGGCCUGCGCGGAAGAUGUAACGGGGCUAAACCAUGCACCGAAGCUGCGGCAGCGACACUAUGUGUUGUUGGGUAGGGGAGCGUUCUGUAAGCCUGUGAAGGUGUGCUGUGAGGCAUGCUGGAGGUAUCAGAAGUGCGAAUGCUGACAUAAGUAACGAUAAAGCGGGUGAAAAGCCCGCUCGCCGGAAGACCAAGGGUUCCUGUCCAACGUUAAUCGGGGCAGGGUGAGUCGACCCCUAAGGCGAGGCCGAAAGGCGUAGUCGAUGGGAAACAGGUUAAUAUUCCUGUACUUGGUGUUACUGCGAAGGGGGGACGGAGAAGGCUAUGUUGGCCGGGCGACGGUUGUCCCGGUUUAAGCGUGUAGGCUGGUUUUCCAGGCAAAUCCGGAAAAUCAAGGCUGAGGCGUGAUGACGAGGCACUACGGUGCUGAAGCAACAAAUGCCCUGCUUCCAGGAAAAGCCUCUAAGCAUCAGGUAACAUCAAAUCGUACCCCAAACCGACACAGGUGGUCAGGUAGAGAAUACCAAGGCGCUUGAGAGAACUCGGGUGAAGGAACUAGGCAAAAUGGUGCCGUAACUUCGGGAGAAGGCACGCUGAUAUGUAGGUGAAGCGACUUGCUCGUGGAGCUGAAAUCAGUCGAAGAUACCAGCUGGCUGCAACUGUUUAUUAAAAACACAGCACUGUGCAAACACGAAAGUGGACGUAUACGGUGUGACGCCUGCCCGGUGC